GUGAAAACCUACCUCAUAAAGCUUUCCGGAUUCACUGGAAUUUUUGUCGCUGCCGUCGUAAGCGCCGCUACAAGCACAAUAUCUUCGAUAAUCAACUCCCAGGCUGCUGUACUGUACGUGGAUAUACUGUCUCCACGCUUUCACAAAGUGAAACUUCAUUUCAAGUGGAUUGCACGAGGCACUGCAUUCCUGCUAGGCGUGGCCAUGACUGCCUGCAGCUGUGCCUGCCUCUAUAUGGGGACCAUCACAAGG
rnacentral:lncRNA from 1 species